rnacentral:rRNA from 1 species
GAUGAAAUUGUGUCCUGCGGUGUCGGUCUACCGAUUGCGGUACGACAGGCACGUCUGCGGGGCUUCUCGCCGGUGCGUCCACCGCCGGCGUGCGCCGGUCGGCCUCACGGUCGGCCGCGCACCGAGGCGGGCCGUCGCGGCUGUUUACUUUGAACAAAUUAGAGUGCUCAAAGCGGGCUAACACUUGCCUGAAUAUUGUACGCAUGGAAUAAUAGAAUAGGACCUCGGUUCUGUUUUGUUGGCUUUCUGUGAUACCAGAGGUAAUGAUUAAUAGGGACAACUGGGGGCAUUCGUAUUGCGACGUUAGAGGUGAAAUUCUUGGAUCGUCGCAAGACGGACUAAAGCGAAAGCAUUUGCCAAAGGUGUUUUCAUUAAUCAAGAACGAAAGUUAGAGGUUCGAAGGCGAUUAGAUACCGCUGUAGUUCUAACCAUAAAUGAUGCCAGCCAGCGAUCCGCCGAAGUUUCAUAAAUUUAACCCGGUGGGCAGCUCCCGGGAAACCAAAGCUUUC